GAAUACUAUAUAAUAAUAUUGCAUUACUAUGUUUAGGAAGGGUACUUCAGUUGCCCUACAGUUAUGCAACUUAUUAGUUAUCAACCCAUAACUGCGAUAAAUACAAGUUUUUUUAAAAAGAAAAUAGGUUGUAUGACUUCGGUAUCCGCAAAACGGUAUUGUGCAUUGGUUCCCUUUCGUAUAGGUGAAAAUAGGAAAGGUUAUGUCCUUUUUUCUAAUUCUUAAGAAGAAGAGGCUUAAUCGGUUUAAGCAAUGAUGACGAUGAUCAUUAUGGGGCUGAUCAUGAUGACGAAUACGAUAAUCCAUAUAAUAAUAAAUAAAAAUUGAUUUUACUUAAAUGACUUUACUUGUAUUUUAGACUUAAAUAAAUAAAAAAUUAUUUAUUUAA